rnacentral:rRNA from 1 species
CGGCAACAGCUCAAAUUUGAAAUCUGGCUCUUCUAGGGUCCGAGUUGUAAUUUGUAGAGGAUGUUUCUGGCGACGUGCCUUCCGAGUUCCCUGGAACGGGACGCCAUAGAGGGUGAGAGCCCCGUACGGUUGGAUGCCUAGCCUCUGUGAAACUCCUUCGAC